AUGGGGGGAGGUGAAAUAACAGCAGCAGCAGCAGAGGAAGAGGAUGAUGGGGUGCUGCUCUUCCCACCUCAUCUCUUUGACUCACUACAGGAGUUGGUCAUCUUUGAGUGCCCAGAGCUGGUCCUGGUCGACCCACCAACUCUUGUUCCUGGAGGAGGAGGGCUCCAAGCUUUGCGAUCCCUCCACAGAUUAACAAUAGAGCGGUCCCCAAAGUUUCUAUCCACCUUCUCCUUUUCCUGUCACAUUUUCCCUUCCUCCCUGCAGUCUCUGGUGCUUUGUGAUGUGAAAGGCUUGAGGACACUAGAGCCCCUCUCAAACCUCUCCUCUCUCACCACAUUAGUAUUGUUUGGUUGUGGAGAGGAUCUGAAAUGUCAGGGCUUGUGGUCACUCAUUAGCAUCGGUGGCCAUCUCCAAGAAUUAAAAGUCUCAGGCAGCCCUGGUUUCUUUGCUGAUUGGGAUCCCAAUCCCAGACGGGCUUUGGAGAACGUUGAAGGAGGUGAAGAGCAGCAGACACAGCUUGUUUCGUCCACACUGCGUGAGCUCAGGACAGAGGACAUAGCAGGACUUCUUGCUGCACCCGUCUGGAGAUUCCUCUCUUCCUCCCUGACCAAGCUGCAACUUCAUGGGGAUUGGUGUGAAGGGAUGGAUCGGUUCAUCAAGGAGCAAGAGGACGCCCUUCAACUCCUUUCCUCCCUCCAGGAACUAGAGUUUUGGAGUUUCAAGGACCUUCAACAUCUCCCUGCAGGGCUGUGUAACCUUACCAGCCUCAAGAUAUUAUCAGUUAACUUCUGUCCAGCCAUCUCGUCAUUGCCCAAUGAUGCCCUCCCGGAUUCACUGGAAAAGCUAGAUGUCUAUAAAUGCAGUGAGGUGCUAAAACAGUACUGCAGGGGGUUAGAGGGAACCAUCCCAGAAAUCAAAAUAUGGUGA
rnacentral:rRNA from 1 species